rnacentral:rRNA from 1 species
GCGAACAGGAUUAGAUACCCUGGUAGUCCACGCCGUAAACGGUGGAUGCUGGAUGUGGGGCCCGUUCCACGGGUUCCGUGUCGGAGCUAACGCGUUAAGCAUCCCGCCUGGGGAGUACGGCCGCAAGGCUAAAACUCAAAGAAAUUGACGGGGGCCCGCACAAGCGGCGGAGCAUGCGGAUUAAUUCGAUGCAACGCGAAGAACCUUACCUGGGCUUGACAUGUUCCCGACGGUCGUAGAGAUACGGCUUCCCUUCGGGGCGGGUUCACAGGUGGUGCAUGGUCGUCGUCAGCUCGUGUCGUGAGAUGUUGGGUUAAGUCCCGCAACGAGCGCAACCCUCGCCCCGUGUUGCCAGCGGAUUAUGCCGGGAACUCACGGGGGACCGCCGGGGUUAACUCGGAGGAAGGUGGGGAUGACGUCAGAUCAUCAUGCCCCUUACGUCCAGGGCUUCACGCAUGCUACAAUGGCCGGUACAACGGGAUGCGACGCGGCGACGCGGAGCGGAUCCCUGAAAACCGGUCUCAGUUCGGAUCGCAGUCUGCAACUCGACUGCGUGAAGGCGGAGUCGCUAGUAAUCGCGAAUCAGCAACGUCGCGGUGAAUGCGUUCCCGGGCCUUGUACACACCGCCCGUCAAGUCAUGAAAGUGGGCAGCACCCGAAGCCGGUGGCCUAACCCCUUGUGGGAUGGAGCCGU